rnacentral:rRNA from 1 species
CCCUCACACCAANCGAACCCCGGCGCGGAUUGCGCCAAGGACCACGAACAAUAGCGCGCCGCCCGCCACUCGGUAAUCCGGUGUGCGAGCGGCGGCGUGUCGUUUCUAUACUAACUGAACGACUCUCGGCAACGGAUAUCUCGGCUCUCGCAUCGAUGAAGAACGUAGCGAAAUGCGAUACUUGGUGUGAAUUGCAGAAUCCCGUGAACCAUCGAGUCUUUGAACGCAAGUUGCGCCCGAAGCCUUAGGGCCGAGGGCACGUCUGCAUGGGCGUCACGCACAGCGUCGCCCCCACCCCCAAUCGUGGGGCGUGGGGCGGAUUCUGGCCCCCCGUGUGCUCCCGCNCGCGGUCGGCCUAAAAUCAGACCCCGUGGCCGCGAAAUGCCGCGACGAUUGGUGGUGUAGCCAUCGGCCUCGUGCCGUCGAACAUCGCGUCGCGUCUUCCGUGGCCCUNUGGAGUCAAAGGACCCUUUGCGACCCCAUGUCAGGCGGGACUACCCGCUGAGUUUAAGCAUAUCAAUAAGCGGAGGAAAAGAAA